rnacentral:rRNA from 1 species
UACGAAGGUGGCAAGCGUUGUUCGGAAUUACUGGGCGUAAAGGGCGCGUAGGCGGCCUGCUAAGUCGGACGUGAAAUCCCUCGGCUCAACCGGGGAACUGCGUCCGAUACUGGCGAGGCUUGAAUCCGGGAGAGGGAUGUGGAAUUCCAGGUGUAGCGGUGAAAUGCGUAGAUAUCUGGAGGAACACCGGUGGCGAAGGCGGCAUCCUGGACCGGUAUUGACGCUGAGGCGCGAAAGCUAGGGGAGCAAACGGG